UCCGACUUAACGUCGGCAGUCUCUCUAGAGUGCCCAACUAAAUGCUGGCAACUAAAGACAGGGGUUGCGCUCGUUACGGGACUUAACCCAACAUCUCACGACACGAGCUGACGACAGCCAUGCAGCACCUAUACAGCGGCCCGAAGGCGUUGAUAUCUCUACCAACUUCCACUGCAUUUCGAACCCAGGUAAGGUUUUUCGCGUUGCAUCGAAUUAAACCACAUGCUCCACCGCUUGUGCGGGCCCCCGUCAAUUUCUUUGAGUUUUAAUCUUGCGACCGUACUUCCCAGGCGGGACACUUAACGCGUUAGCUUCGGCACUGAAGGGGUCAAUACCUCCAACACCAAGUGUCCAUCGUUUACGGUGCGGACUAC
rnacentral:misc_RNA from 1 species